AUUGAACGCUAGCGGGAUGCUUUACACAUGCAAGUCGAACGAGUGGCGGACGGGUGAGUAAUAUAUCGGAACGUGCCCAGUAGCGGGGGAUAACUACUCGAAAGAGUGGCUAAUACCGCAUACUCUUGGAGCGGCCGAUAUCGGAUUAGCUAGUGGGUGGGGUAAAGGCUCACCAAGGCAACGACCCGUAGCGGGGUGGAGAGGACGACCGGCAACACUGGUACUGAGACACGGCCCGUACUCCUCCGGGAGGCAGCAGUGGGUAAUUUUGUACAAUGGGGGAAACCCUGAUCCAGCCAUCCCGCGUGUAUGUGAGGGCCUUCGGGUUGUAAAGUACUUUUGGCAGAGAAGCGGUAUCUGCAGAAUAAGCACCGGCUAACUACGUGCCAGCAGCCGCGGUAAUAC
rnacentral:rRNA from 1 species